rnacentral:rRNA from 1 species
AAAUUUGAAAUCUGGCGCAAGCUCGAGUUGUAAUUUGUAGAGGAUGCUUCUGGCCAGCGGCCGUUCUAAGUUCCUUGGAACAGGACGUCAUAGAGGGUGAGAAUCCCGUAUGUGACCGGCGCGCAGCCUUUACGUAGCUCCUUCGACGAGUCGAGUUGUUUGGGAAUGCAGCUCUAAAUGGGAGGUAAAUUUCUUCUAAAGCUAAAUACCGGCCAGAGACCGAUAGCGCACAAGUAGAGUGAUCGAAAGAUGAAAAGCACUUUGGAAAGAGAGUUAAAAAGCACGUGAAAUUGUUGAAAGGGAAGCGCUUGCAACCAGACUUCGUAGCGAUGUUCCGCUGGUCUUUUGACCGGUCCACUCAUCGUCGCGAGGCCAACAUCGUCUGGGCCCGCUGGAUAAGACCUAAGGAAUGUAGCUUCCCUCGGGAAGUGUUAUAGCCUGUGGUGAUGCAGCGCGGCUCGGGCGAGGUCCGCGCUUCGGCAAGGAUGUUGGCGUAAUGGUUGUCAGCGGCCCGUCUUGAAACACGGACCAAGGAGUCUAACAUCUAUGCGAGUGUUCGGGUGUCAAACCCCUACGCGUAAUGAAAGUGAACGGAGGUGGGAAGCGCAAGCUGCACCAUCGACCGAUCCUGAUGUCCUCGGAUGGAUUUGAGUAAGAGCAUAGCUGUUGGGACCCGAAAGAUGGUGAACUAUGCCUGAAUAGGGUGAAGCCAGAGGAAACUCUGG